AGGGCGAUCCAGGCAAAAGAGGGUUUAAAGCGACGACUACAGUCUGAGUUAUCUGUACUUCAUCGCGCUUCAACGUCUACCAUCUUGAAGGAUAUGACCGGUCCAAUCGUUCUUCUCAGAAAGCAAGGGAUUUAGGGUAAAUUGAGGAUAUACGAGUCAUAACAGAAUUGGAAAAUAGUGGAUGCCGUGUUCACAUUGCCAAUAGGA
rnacentral:lncRNA from 1 species